AACGCACGAGACCUGCGGACCUGCGGAGGGAUCAUUAGUGAACGCCCUCACGGGCUUAUAACUAUUCCAAACCUCUGUGAACCGCGCCCUUCGGGGCUAUUUUACAAACAUGGUGUAAUGAACGUCAUAUAUCAUAACAAAACAAAACUUUUAACAACGGAUCUCU
rnacentral:misc_RNA from 1 species